CAGCCGCCACGGUAAUACGAAGGGGGCUAGCGUUGUUCGGAUUUACUGGGCGUAAAGGGCGCGUAGGCGGACUGAUAAGUCAGGGGUGAAAUCCCAAGGCUCAACCUUGGAACUGCCUUUGAUACUGUUUGUCUUGAGUUCGAGAGAGGUAAGUGGAACUGCGAGUGUAGAGGUGAAAUUCGUAGAUAUUCGCAAGAACACCAGUGGCGAAGGCGGCUUACUGGCUCGAUACUGACGCUGAGGCGCGAAAGCGUGGGGAGCAAACAGGAUUAGAUACCCCAGUAGUCCCUGUCUCUUAUAC
rnacentral:rRNA from 1 species